CGCAUGCUCCCGGCCGCCAUGGCGGCCGCGGGAAUUCNNNNNNNUACGGGAGGCAGCAGGGGGGAAUCUUGGACAAUGGGCGCAAGCCUGAUCCAGCCAUGCCGCGUGAGUGAUGAAGGCCUUAGGGUCGUAAGGCUCUUUCGCCAGGGAUGAUAAUGACAGUACCUGGUAAAGAAACCCCGGCUAACUCCGUGCCAACAGCCGCGGUAAUACGGAGGGGGUUAGCGUUGUUCGGAAUUACUGGGCGUAAAGCGCGCGUAGGCGGGUUGUUAAGUUAGAGGUGAAAUCCCGGGGCUCAACCCCGGAACUGCCUUUAAUACUGGCAACCUAGAGUUCGAGAGAGGCGAGUGGAAUUCCGAGUGUAGAGGUGAAAUUCGUAGAUAUUCGGAGGAACACCAGUGGCGAAGGCGGCUCACUGGCUCGAUACUGACGCUGAGGUGCGAAAGUGUGGGGAGCAAACAGGAUUAGAUACCCUGGUAGUCCACACCGUAAACGAUGAAUGCCAGUCGUCGGGUAGCAUGCUAUUCGGUGACACACCUAACGGAUUAAGCAUUCCGCCUGGGGAGUACGGUCGCAAGAUUAAAACUCAAAUGAAUUGACGGAAUCACUAGUGAAUUCGCGGCCGCCUGCAGGUCGACCAUAUGGGAGAGCUCCCAACGCGUUGGAUGCAUAGCUUGAGUAUUCUAUAGUGUCACCUAAAUAGCUUGGCGUAAUCAUGGUCAUAGCUGUUUCCUGUGUGAAAUUGUUAUCCGCUCACAAUUCCACACAACAUACGAGCCGGAAGCAUAAAGUGUAAAGCCUNNNGUGCCUAAUGAGUGAGCUAACUCACAUUAAUUGCGUUGCGCUCACUGCCCGCUUUCCAGUCNNGAAACCUGUCGUGCCAGCUGCAUUAAUGA
rnacentral:rRNA from 1 species